UCCUUAUUGAGAGUGGUGGAGGGACUGGCCCGAUGAAGCCCGGCAACCAGUAACAAGUUUGAGUUUAGAUGUUACAGUGGUGCCAACUCCUGCAGAAGUUUUAACUUCUGAGAAAUGAGGG
rnacentral:ncRNA from 2 species